rnacentral:rRNA from 1 species
UACGUAGGUGGCAAGCGUUGUCCGGAUUUACUGGGCGUAAAGAGCGCGCAGGCGGCUGGUCAAGUCCGAUGUGAAAGCUCCCGGCUUAACUGGGAAACGGCAUCGGAAACUGAUCGGCUUGAAGGUGGGAGAGGGUAGUGGAAUUCCCGGUGUAGUGGUGAAAUGCGUAGAUAUCUGGAGGAAUACCGGUGGCGAAGGCGGCAUCCUGGACCGACAUUGACGCUGAUGAGCGAAAGCUAGGGGAGCAAACGGG